CUAUGACUAGUAUUAGUCAUGGCGGAAGGAG
rnacentral:ncRNA from 1 species